UGUGUGGUGAGUUCCCUGUAGAUAUAAGAUGCUAUAAAUGUUCUAUUUCCUAUGUGACGUCUCAGUGAUCUGCACCUGACACUGCUCCUACUGUCAGUAUGGGGAGAUACUUACUGCUUGUCCUCUCCGCUCUCUUCUCUCUCUCUGUUCCAGGUUCCUAUGGGCAGAUUGUACUGACUCAGUCUCCAGAUUAUGUCUCUGUGUCACCAGGAGAAACUGUCACCAUCACAUGUAAAGCCAGUAGCAGUGUUUACGACAUAUUAGCCUGGUACCAACAGAAAUCAGGGCAGGCACCAAAGCUGCUGAUCUAUGCUGCAAGCACUCGACACACAGGGACCCCAGAGCGGAUCAGCGGCAGUGGGUCUGGAUCAGGUUACACAGAUUACUCUCUUACAAUCAGCAGAAUGGAAGCAGAAGAUGCAGCAGAUUAUUACUGUCAGACAAGUUACAGUGGGUCACACAGUGAUACAGAGCUGAACAAAAUCCUCCCUGUUACUGUGCCAGUGCCCAGUGAGUUAUUUACAUGAUACUCUAUAAAGCUA